CAACAUAAAAAAAAUGAAUGGACGAGGAACGAAGAACGAUUGAAUGGUUGAAAAACAUGGCGGAGUGCAUUAGAUUGAAUGCCGGCCGAAUUGAAUUGAUAGGACGCGAGUUGUAAAUUUGAUAUAUUUAGCGUGAUUUGACUAUAUUAUGGCUCGCAAUAAGUCGCCAUCAGCAACGUCGGAUAAAGACAAGAAGAAACCAAAGGAUAAGAAGAAAAAGGGCGAUUCAGGAUCCAGUAGCAGCGAUAGUAGCGGCAGUUCAUCAGACAGCAGUUCAUCAAGGUCAUCAUCUCUGUCUUCCUCAAGUAGUUCUGGCAGCUCCUCAAGAUCUUCCUCCUCGUCCAGCUCAUCCAGCAGCAGUAGCAAUGAACGCUCCAGGGCCAAGAAGAAGACAUCACCACAGAAGAGUCCAGUGAAGGAUCGUCGAGAGCCGGACCGGGAGAAGCUUCGGGACAGAUCACCACUUGGAGACAAGAAGAAGAUAUCAGCACCAUCAUCUAAUGACAAGGCCAAAAGCAAGGACAAGCAUGAUAGAUCUCCAGCCAGAAAAAAGAGAGAACGUUCACCGCCGCCGCGUCCUACACGCAUCCACAUCGGACGAUUGACUCUGAAUGUUACCAAAGACCAUAUUCAAGAGAUAUUCUCAACAUACGGCAAUGUGAAAACUAUAGAGUUUCCGAUGGAUCGCCUGCAUCCGCACAACAGUCGCGGAUACGCAUACGUGGAGUUCACGAAUGCCGACGAAGCAGAAAAUGCCAUGAAGCAUAUGGAUGGAGGGCAGAUCGACGGGCAGGAGAUCACGGCGGCGCCGGUGCUGAUCCCGUCGCGGCCGCGCCGCCCCUCGCCGCGCCCGCCGCCCCGCCACGCGCCGCUCCGCCGACACUCGCCGCCGAGGUGACUACAUGUCUGCACUCUAGUGUAACUAGGCUGCCAGGGCAGAUCGACGGGCAGGAGAUCACGGCGGCGCCGGUGCUGAUCCCGUCGCGGCCGCGCCGCCCCUCGCCGCGCCCGCCGCCCCGCCACGCGCCGCUCCGCCGACACUCGCCGCCGAGGUGACUACAUGUCUGCACUCUAGUGUAACUAGGCUGCCAGGGCAGAUCGACGGGCAGGAGAUCACGGCGGCGCCGGUGCUGAUCCCGUCGCGGCCGCGCCGCCCCUCGCCGCGCCCGCCGCCCCGCCACGCGCCGCUCCGCCGACACUCGCCGCCGAGGUACCGCCGCCGCAGCCCCGUGCGGCGCCGCUCGCCACCGCGGCGCCGGCGCUCGCGCUCGCGCUCCCCGCGCCCCGCGCCGCGCCGCCGCCGCUCCAGGUCCUCCUCCUCCUCCUCCCGAUAGUCGCCCCGCCUCCACGCACACACACACACACACACACACACACCAGUAGACUAGUUUCCUGUAGGUAAGAUUGUGGCAAUUGUGAACUUUAAUUUUAAUUGACUGGACUUCAUUUGAACUUUUCGACUAACAAAAGAACUGAAAAUUCGAUUAUUGCAUACUAUGAUGACAUAGUUUAUCUUAUAUAAAAUAUGGUUGAUGAUUACUUACUAGGAAACUACCCUAUUACACGAUAAAAUACAUAGUUGGCAUUGGAGGUUUGGUACAUUUUUAUCCGAGCUUUAAUUACUUGUUCUAAAGUUAAUAUUCGCUUUGAAGCCAUCAAACCGAUGAAAUUAAAAACAUUUGGAGAAAAGUAUACCAAAAUUAAUCCAUCUCACCAUGACACAUUCCAGACCCUCCGCAUGAGGUAAGUAUAAAUCCGAUUCCCUUUCUUUUAAAAAUAAAUUUGUUCUGUAGAGAUUCUACAGAAAGGUAAGUAUAGUGUCAUAAACAUAACGAAUGGUUAUAAUUAACUUGCAAAUUUCUCAUUAUAAAAGCUUGCAAAAUGGAAACUGAAACAGUGAGUGAUCAGUGAAGCUCCAAAUGAACUGAGUAUCGGUGAAGUGUUUAAUGUAUUUCAGUACCAAUUUUUAUUUGUAUAAUCAGAGACAUUUGACUAAUAAAUUGUAAUACUAAU